rnacentral:rRNA from 1 species
GACGAACGCUGGCGGCGUGCUUAACACAUGCAAGUCGAACGGAAAGGCCCAGCUUUUGUUGGGUGCUCGAGUGGCGAACGGGUGAGUAACACGUGAGUAAUCUGCCCUUGACUUUGGGAUAACUCUAGGAAACUGGGGCUAAUACCGGAUAGGAGCACCUGCUGCAUGGUGGGGGUUGGAAUGUUUCGGCGGUUGGGGAUGGACUCGCGGCUUAUCAGCUUGUUGGUGGGGUAGUGGCUUACCAAGGCUUUGACGGGUAGCCGGCCUGAGAGGGUGACCGGCCACAUUGGGACUGAGAUACGGCCCAGACUCCUACGGGAGGCAGCAGUGGGGAAUAUUGCACAAUGGGCGGAAGCCUGAUGCAGCAACGCCGCGUGCGGGAUGACGGCCUUCGGGUUGUAAACCGCUUUCGCCUGUGACGAAGCGUGAGUGACGGUAAUGGGUAAAGAAGCACCGGCUAACUACGUG